GACGAACGCUGGCGGCGUGCCUAAUACAUGCAAGUAGAACGCUGAAGAGAGGAGCUUGCUCUUCUUGGAUGAGUUGCGAACGGGUGAGUAACGCGUAGGUAACCUGCCUGGUAGCGGGGGAUAACUAUUGGAAACGAUAGCUAAUACCGCAUAAAAUGGAUUAUCGCAUGAUAAUCCAUUGAAAGGUGCAAAUGCAUCACUACCAGAUGGACCUGCGUUGUAUUAGCUAGUUGGUGGGGUAACGGCUCACCAAGGCGACGAUACAUAGCCGACCUGAGAGGGUGAUCGGCCACACUGGGACUGAGACACGGCCCAGACUCCUACGGGAGGCAGCAGUAGGGAAUCUUCGGCAAUGGACGGAAGUCUGACCGAGCAACGCCGCGUGAGUGAAGAAGGUUUUCGGAUCGUAAAGCUCUGUUGUAAGAGAAGAACGAGUGUGAGAGUGGAAAGUUCACACUGUGACGUAUCUACCAGAAAGGACG
rnacentral:rRNA from 1 species